rfam:Paenibacillus sp. VKM B-2647 B-2647_132, whole genome shotgun sequence.
GGAUAAGCUAGAAAGAGCACACGGAGGAUGCCUAGGCGCUAGGAGCCGAAGAAGGACGUGGCGAACGACGAAAUGCCUCGGGGAGCUGUAAGCAAGCAUCGAUCCGAGGAUGUCCGAAUGGGGGAACCCAGCAGCGGUAAUACGCUGUUAUCCAUGCAUGAAUACAUAGUGCAUGAGAAGGCAUACCCGGGGAACUGAAACAUCUAAGUACCCGGAGGAGAAGAAAACAACAGUGAUUCCGUCAGUAGCGGCGAGCGAAAGCGGAUUAGCCCAAACCAGGGGGCUUGCCCCCUGGGGUUGUAGGACGUCAAUGUGAGAAAAGUUUCUUAGACGAACAGGUCUGGAAAGGCCGGCCAUAGAAGGUAAGAGCCCUGUAAUCGAAAAGAAGCGUAUCUCUAGACGGAUCCUGAGUACGGCGGGACACGAGAAACCCCGUCGGAAACCGGCAGGACCAUCUGCCAAGGCUAAAUACUCCCUAGCGACCGAUAGUGAAGCAGUACCGUGAGGGAAAGGUGAAAAGCACCCCGGGAGGGGAGUGAAAUAGAACCUGAAACCGUGUGCUUACAAGAAGUCAGAGCCCGUUCAUGGGUGAUGGCGUGCCUUUUGUAGAAUGAACCGGCGAGUUACGUUUGCAUGCGAGGUUAAGGUGAAGAGCCGGAGCCGAAGCGAAAGCGAGUCUGAAUAGGGCGAGUUAAGUAUGCAGGCGUAGACCCGAAACCGGGUGAUCUACCCCUGGCCAGGGUGAAGGUGCGGUAACACGCACUGGAGGCCCGAACCCACGUCUGUUGAAAAAGCCGGGGAUGAGCUGGGGGUAGGGGAGAAAUUCCAAUCGAACUCGGAGAUAGCUGGUUCUCCCCGAAAUAGCUUUAGGGCUAGCCUCGGACGGUUCGUAGCGGAGGUAAAGCACUGAUUGGGUGCGGGGCCCGCCAAGGGUUACCAAGUCCAGUCAAACUCUGAAUGCCGCAUACGACAGUCCGGGAGUCAGACGGUGAGUGCUAAGAUCCAUCGUCAAGAGGGAAACAGCCCAGAUCAACAGCUAAGGUCCCCAAGUGUGUGUUCAGUGGGAAAGGAUGUGGAGUUGCGAAGACAACCAGGAUGUUGGCUUAGAAGCAGCCACCAUUGAAAGAGUGCGUAAUAGCUCACUGGUCGAGUGACUCUGCGCCGAAAAUGUAACGGGGCUAAACACACCACCGAAGCUUUGACAUGAUACUAUGUAUCUUGGGUAGGGGAGCGUUGAAUGCACGUUGAAGUCUGACCGUGAGGACAGGUGGAGCGCAUUCAAGUGAGAAUGCCGGUAUGAGUAACGAAAAGAUCAGUGAGAAUCUGAUCCGCCGAAAGCCUAAGGGUUCCUGAGGAAGGUUCGUCCGCUCAGGGUAAGUCGGGACCUAAGGCGAGGCCGAAAGGCGUAGCCGAUGGACAACAGGUGGAAAUUCCUGUACCGCCGUAGCCGUUAUGAGCGAUGGAGUGACGCAGAAGGAUAGUGACGCUGGGCGAUGGAUUGCCCAGUCCAAGCAGUGAGGCUGGUGUGCAGGCAAAUCCGCACACUAUAAGGCUGAGCUGUGAUGGGGAGGGAAACUUACAGUACCGAAGGUCAUGCGUUCAUGCUGCCAAGAAAAGCUUCUAGCCAGGCGAAGGCGCCCGUACCGGAAACCGACACAGGUGGGCACGCAGAGCAUGCGAAGGCGCGCGGAAGAACUCUCGUUAAGGAACUCGGCAACAUGACCCCGUAACUUCGGGAGAAGGGGUGCCCCGGUAGGGUGAAUAGCCCGAGGGGGCCGCAGUGAAAAGGCCCAAGCGACUGUUUAGCAAAAACACAGGUCUGUGCGAAGCCGCAAGGCGAAGUAUACGGGCUGACGCCUGCCCGGUGCUGGAAGGUUAAGGGGAGCGGUUAGCUGCAAAGCGAAGCUGUGAACCGAAGCCCCAGUAAACGGCGGCCGUAACUAUAACGGUCCUAAGGUAGCGAAAUUCCUUGUCAGGUAAAUUCUGACCCGCACGAAUGGCGUAACGACUUGGGCGCUGUCUCAACGAGAGAUCCGGUGAAAUUUUAGUACCUGUGAAGAUGCAGGUUACCCGCGACGUGACGGAAAGACCCCAUGGAGCUUUACUGCAGCUUGAUAUUGGACUUGGGUGUGAUUUGUACAGGAUAGGUGGGAGCCUGAGAAGCCGGUGCGCCAGCAUCGGUGGAGGCGACGUUGGGAUACCACCCUGAUCGCACUUGAGUUCUAACCUGGCACCAUGAUCUGGUGCGGGGACCGUGUCAGGCGGGCAGUUUGACUGGGGCGGUCGCCUCCCAAAGAGUAACGGAGGCGUCCCAAGGUUCCCUCAGAAUGGUUGGAAAUCAUUCGGAGAGUGCAAAGGCAGAAGGGAGCUUGACUGCGAGACCUACAAGUCGAGCAGGGACGAAAGUCGGGCUUAGUGAUCCGGUGGUACCGCAUGGAAGGGCCAUCGCUCAACGGAUAAAAGCUACCCUGGGGAUAACAGGCUUAUCUCCCCCAAGAGUCCACAUCGACGGGGAGGUUUGGCACCUCGAUGUCGGCUCAUCGCAUCCUGGGGCUGAAGUAGGUCCCAAGGGUUGGGCUGUUCGCCCAUUAAAGCGGUACGCGAGCUGGGUUCAGAACGUCGUGAGACAGUUCGGUCCCUAUCUGUCGCGGGCGCAGGAAAUUUGAGAGGAGCUGUCCUUAGUACGAGAGGACCGGGAUGGACGUACCGCUGGUGUACCAGUUGUUCCGCCAGGAGCACAGCUGGGUAGCUAUGUACGGAAGGGAUAAGCGCUGAAAGCAUCUAAGCGUGAAGCCCCCCUCAAGAUGAGAUUUCCCAGUAUGUAAGACCCCUUGUAGACGACGAGGUUGAUAGGUUCGAGGUGGAAGCGCAGCAAUGCGUGGAGCUGACGAAUACUAAUCGGUCGAGGGCUUAUCCAA